CACACUCAAUGCACCCCUUAAACACACUCAAAGCACCCCUUACAGACUCACACACUUCAUCCCUUACAUACACAGAAACACACCUUGCAGCCCUUACACAUACAGACACAGAUUCACACAAUGCAUUCCUUACACACAAAUCAGGACAUCCCCUACACACUCCACCCCCUGUGAACAAACUCACUGGUGGAACAUGAAGGUGGACCCUGGGACCCAGACCUUGAGCUGUGUAAAGGGCCCCCCCAAAAAAUGGAGCUGCUUCUCGUUCUCCCAGAACAUUGAUUUUUGUGACCACAGUUACAAACAGCCUCCACAGAUCCUGUUAUACACCAGACCAGUGGAGCCAGACUGCAGCUAGAGCCCAUCAUCAUCCUCAUCUGCUUGUAAGUAGGUAAUCUAGUAUAUUAUUCGUGGCACUAAUCUCUAAUUUACC